rnacentral:rRNA from 1 species
AUACCGUGAAACUGCGAAUGGCUCAUUAAAUCAGUUAUCGUUUAUUUGAUAGUACCUUACUACUUGGAUAACCGUGGUAAUUCUAGAGCUAAUACAUGCUGAAAACCCCAACUUCGGGAGGGGUGUAUUUAUUAGAUAAAAAACCAACGCCCUUCGGGGCUUCUUGGUGAUUCAUGAUAACUUAACGGAUCGCAUGGCCUUGCGCCGGCGACGGUUCAUUCAAAUUUCUGCCCUAUCAACUUUCGAUGGUAAGGUAUUGGCUUACCAUGGUUUCAACGGGUAACGGGGAAUUAGGGUUCGAUUCCGGAGAGGGAGCCUGAGAAACGGCUACCACAUCCAAGGAAGGCAGCAGGCGCGCAAAUUACCCAAUCCCGACACGGGGAGGUAGUGACAAUAAAUACUGAUACAGGGCUCUUUUGGGUCUUGUAAUUGGAAUGAGUACAAUUUAAACCUCUUAACGAGGAACAAUUGGAGGGCAAGUCUGGUGCCAGCAGCCGCGGUAAUUCCAGCUCCAAUAGCGUAUAUUAAAGUUGUUGCAGUUAAAAAGCUCGUAGUUGAACCUUGGGUCUGGCUGGCAGGUCCGCCUCACCGCGUGUACUUGUCCGGCCGGGCCUUCCUUCUGGAGAACCUCAUGCCCUUCACUGGGCGUGUUGGGGACCAGGACUUUUACUUUGAAAAAAUUAGAGUGUUCAAAGCAGGCCUUUGCUCGAAUACGUUAGCAUGGAAUAAUAAAAUAGGACGUGCGGUCCUAUUUUGUUGGUUUCUAGGACCGCCGUAAUGAUUAAUAGGGACAGUCGGGGGCAUCAGUAUUCAAUUGUCAGAGGUGAAAUUCUUGGAUUUAUUGAAGACUAACUACUGCGAAAGCAUUUGCCAAGGAUGUUUUCAUUAAUCAGUGAACGAAAGUUAGGGGAUCGAAGACGAUCAGAUACCGUCGUAGUCUUAACCGUAAACUAUGCCGACUAGGGAUCGGGCGAUGUUCUUUUUCUGACUCGCUCGGCACCUUACGAGAAAUCAAA